rnacentral:lncRNA from 1 species
AUGUGGGAGACCCGGAUGAAGUUCCCGGCUUUGGCCUGGCCUGGCCCCUGUGACCACUUGAGGGCUGAACCAGUGGAUGGAAGACCUCUCUCUCUCUGUAACUCUGCCUUUCAAAUAAAUACAUCUUUAAAAAACUUUCAAGAAAAAAAAAAAAAAAAAAAAAUCAUAAAAGCCGGGAAGCAACAGGCCUCUCUACAGGUCCGUGGGUCUUCCAGAAUGGCCAGCGCUGUCCCGACGUUUCAGCCGCUGGGGCCAGGGGCGGCCGCCUCCUCCUGGACUUUGCAGAAUCGCUGGUUUGUCCGAGUGCUUUUCCCUCUGGGGAGGGCUAUGCUGCGCCUGGGAGGGGCAGCCCCCCAUCAUCUGCCCAGGCCCCAAGUGACCGGACUUCCUCCCCCGGGAACCUUCCAGAGCCAGGGCGUCCUCGGCCACCUGCCCCUCCUCGGCACUUGGGCCGUCGCCUCUCCCGACAGGCACCGUUACACCACGCUACCCCUGCUGGUAACACUCAUCUCCCCACUAGCCUUUGAGCUUCCAGAAGGUUCUGAAGGGUUCCCACACCACAGAAUCCUGUCCCACAGUGAAUGCCGCAGAUGGUCUCCUGCCCGCCCCCGAUGCCCAGGUUCUCCUCUUCUGCCUGCAUCUUGCCCUGAGCUCAGCUCCAGGGCUCUGCGCCGCAAGCCCUGCACACUCCUGACCCCUGCGCCCCAAGCCCUGCACACUCCUGACCCCUACACCCACAACAAGCUGCUGCCACCCAGUCAGAGAGCUCCCCCUCCCAGCACGUGCCCCCCCCCAUCUCUCCAGGAUAUGCACACACUUGGGCGUGGCUAUGUUUCAAUAAAACUUUAUUUACAGAGAGCUUCAGGCCAGGUGAGCGCAGGGGGUGCACCCGCCACCCCACACCUCGCCCUGUGCAUCUCUCCUCCUUGCUCUUCCUAAAUUGUAGCCUUUAGCAGUAACCAGUAAAAACAAAACAAAACAAAACAAAAACCAGCUUUCUUUACAAAGACAGAUAGCAGGCUUGAUUUGGCCUCUGGGGCUAGAAUUCGCUGAGCCCUGAACACUUGGGGGGCGGGGGGGGGGGGGCUCCUAGGUCAAACUUGGGGACAAACUCUCUUAAAAAGCAGGGGAGAGGUGAGGGAGGGAGGCUCUGCCCCCCGUCACGCUGGGCACAGAAGGAAACUGAACCACGCGGCCCUGGGCACGUUCCCCUGGGUCCUGUAUUCCCCCGGGGAGCAAGGAAACAGGGCGGAAGCCAAAGGGCCCCGACUUUCCGCCUUCAGCGGGCUCCCUGGGUCCGCCUAGAAGG